rnacentral:rRNA from 1 species
UACGGAAGGGGCAAGCGUUGUUCGGAAUCAUUGGGCGUAAAGGGCGCGUAGGUGGUUUUGUGUGUCUACCGUGAAAGCAUACAGCUCAACUGUAUUUUGUCGGUAGAAACUGCAGGACUUGAGGCUGGGAGGGGCUGGUGGAAUUCCCUGUGUAGCGGGUGAAAUGCGUAGGAGAUGGGGGAGAACACUCGUGGCGAAGGCAGCGCUCUGGUCGGCAUCUGA